rnacentral:rRNA from 1 species
UGAGGAAUAUUGGUCAAUGGGCGCAAGCCUGAACCAGCCAUACCGCGUGAAGGAUGAAGGCGCUAUGCGUUGUAAACUUCUUUUCUGCAAGAAGAAACUUUCGUACGUGUACGGAACUGACGGUAUUGCAGGAAUAAGCAUCGGCUAACUCCGUGCCAGCAGCCGCGGUAAUACGGAGGAUGCGAGCGUUAUCCGGAUUUAUUGGGUUUAAAGGGUGCGUAGGCGGCUUAUUAAGUCAGUGGUGAAAGCCUGGAGCUUAACUCCAGAACUGCCAUUGAUACUGAUAAGCUUGAGUACAGUUGAGGUGGGCGGAAUGUGUCAUGUAGCGGUGAAAUGCGUAGAUAUGACACAGAACACCGAUUGCGAAGGCAGCUCACUAAGCUGAAACUGACGCUGAGGCACGAAAGCGUGGGGAGCAAACAGG